GUGCUUUGUGAUCUACACCAAGUAUUUGAUAUACUUGUUUGUUAAAAUACAAUAAUAAUGAGUGCAGUAGUUUCUAUACAUCCCCAUAUAAUCAAUUCCAUUAUAAUGUAUUUGAAAGGACAGUCCAUGUCGCUUAACAAAAUCUUUGGUAGAUUAAGUAGCUCUGCUUGUAAAUUUACAGCCAUUGGAGUAAAAAAUGCGAAUCUCAAAUACUUGGUGUAGAUCACAAAGCAC
rnacentral:misc_RNA from 1 species